UAUUUGUGUUGGUUCUGAAUAAUGGCAAUCUAAACAAUGUGCUCGGUUUUCUUAGCUAUUGGAAAAUACAGAAGCUGAACUGAUACACUGUUUAAUUUUGUUCUGUUUAUUUUUAAAAGACCUACAACUAUGUAUAUUUUGAAUGCCCAAGGUUCGAAGGAAUUUGGUUCUUCAAGAAGUGAAGAACAAAUGCUAUUCCUUCUACUUAUCACAGGGGGGAUCUAGAAGCUGGCUACAGGGCACCUACACUCAGGACCAGUUAAGGAAAUCCAUCUGCUUCCCAGAAGUAACAUUCACCUCUGCUCAGCACUCUCUGCCUGUGAGAUCAAAAUGCACCCAGAUUUAUGUUAGGCCUGCUCACAGCCUACACGGCUCACAAGCAGCACUGACUGCAGGUUGUGUUUUGAUUUUUUGUUAAUGUCAUUCCAGUCCAGGCAAUUGCUUGACAGGCAACUGUUUUUUCAGGAUGUGUUGCCAAGUUGUAAGAAAAAGACCCUGAAGAAAUGGUAAAAGCAGUUUGUUAUGCAUCAGUACCUAAUACCAUCCUUAAUUUAGGAAAGACUUGUAGCAGAUAGCAAAGCUGGAAACAACAGCAUGCGGUCAGCUACAAACAUCCUUUUUCAAUAUCUGCUUUUACUCCUUCAAACCCGUCAGUCUCUGCCUUCUCUGUUUCAUUUACAGUGGCAGUGAAAUGGAGGGAACGAGUAAGCUGUAGGCAGCUUGUUACCUUGAGUCAGCCCCUGACCUUUCCAUGGCCUACGAAUCCUACCGAGCUCUGUAGAGAAACAGCACUAUCUGGUGGAGGGAGUCUGUAAAGUCCUGUCAGGAAUGGGCUGUACACAGAGCCACUAUUGCAAAUGCUUCGAUGGUGUUCUUGCCCAAAGUUGAUAAAUAGUUCUGUGGUUUCAAGAGGAUUCUUUUUUCUACAGUCCAAAUGGAAGAGGAAUAUAUCUCGCUUAGUCUUUAUGAAACUGAUGCUUAUUUCAGUUUCUAGUGCUUUCAUGAAGAACCUUUUCACCCUUUGAGAAAUGUCAGUGUAUUUUCUGAACUUUCCAAGUACAGCAAUAUGAAAGAAUGAGAGGAGAUUUUGUUUUCUUUUAAUGCUAAAAGGAGCAUCAUUUCUUAAAGUUGUACUAAAUAGUUACAAGCAGAAUAAAAUCAGGCUUGCAUGCA
rnacentral:lncRNA from 1 species